AGCUCCGAGGUGUACUAACAUAUAAGAUUGCAAAUCUUAAGAGGCAGACUAAAACCUGCCGGGGCUU
rnacentral:tRNA from 1 species